GAUGAACGCUGGCGGCGUGCCUAAUACAUGCAAGUCGAGCGAACAGACGAGGAGCUUGCUCCUUUGACGUUAGCGGCGGACGGGUGAGUAACACGUGGAUAACCUACCUAUAAGACUGGGAUAACUUCGGGAAACCGGAGCUAAUACCGGAUAACAUGUUGAACCGCAUGGUUCAACAGUGAAAGGCGGUCUUGCUGUCACUUAUAGAUGGAUCCGCGCCGCAUUAGCUAGUUGGUAAGGUAACGGCUUACCAAGGCAACGAUGCGUAGCCGACCUGAGAGGGUGAUCGGCCACACUGGAACUGAGACACGGUCCAGACUCCUACGGGAGGCAGCAGUAGGGAAUCUUCCGCAAUGGGCGAAAGCCUGACGGAGCAACGCCGCGUGAGUGAAGAAGGUCUUCGGAUCGUAAAACUCUGUUAUUAGGGAAGAACAAAUGUGUAAGUAACUAUGCACGUCUUGACGGUACCUAAUCAGAAAGCCACGGCUAACUACGUG
rnacentral:rRNA from 1 species